rnacentral:rRNA from 1 species
AGCGAACGCUGGCGGCAGGCCUAACACAUGCCAGUCGAACGAACUCUUCGGAGUUAGUGGCGGACGGGUGAGUAACACGUGGGAACGUGCCUUUUGGUUCGGCAUAACUCAGGGAAACUUGUGCUAAUACCGAAUGUGCCCUUCGGGGGAAAGAUUUAUCGCCAUUAGAGCGGCCCGCGUCUGAUUAGCUAGUUGGUGAGGUAACGGCGCACCAAGGCGACGAUCAGUAACUGGUCUGAGAGGAUGACCAGCCACACUGGGACUGAGACACGGCCCAGACUCCUACGGGAGGCAGCAGUGGGGAAUCUUGCGCAAUGGGCGAAAGCCUGACGCAGCCAUGCCGCGUGAAUGAUGAAGGUCUUAGGAUUGUAAAAUUCUUUCACCGGGGACGAUAAUGACGGUACCCGGAGAAGAAGCCCCGGCUAACUUCGUG